CUGUGCUCAGGUGAUCUGCCUGCCUUGGCCUCCCAAAAUGCUGGGAUUACAGACAUGAGCCACAGCGCCUGGCCACGUCAACUUUUUUAGGCUCCACAUGUAUAAUCACAGUCACUCCCUCCGGAAAUGUCUCCUCCCCUCCUCUCCACCUUCUCUUUGAGGAUUAUAUAUAGGAUUUGUGCUCACAGAGGCAGCUACACUCCUACAAAGGAAAACAUUAAGUUCCUUUCUCUUGACAAGAGAUGUGUUCCUGCGGGGAGAAUUUUAUUGUAACUGAAAUUUAAGUAAAACUCACCGAAAUGA